AAUAAAUAAAAAAAAGUCGGUUAUAACAUAACAGCAAAUUGCAAAACAAAAUGAAACUUGGCCUUCGAAGAUUAAGAAAUAAGAAAGACAGAACAAAAGCAGUUUCUUCAUCCAAUUAAAAUCUAGCAACGUCACUCGUGCGAGCCAUCAUCAAAUAUCUCAGGUGCACGGAUUAAUUGGGAAAAUGGCGAAGCGAAGAAAAAUUGAUAUUGAAGGUCGCGUUUUUAAAGAGAAAUUGGACGGAGGAUUACCUUUUUGUGCAAGUGAAAGGCAAGCCCGUUUGCUUAAUUUAUGGAGCAAUCUUGAGAGGCUGCACUUGCAGACAUGCAAGUUAUGCUAAUCUUGAAGGAACUGGACUCUGAGAAAAUCAAGAUGUUGAGGAAUAAUCUCGCUGCACAACAAGCGUCUUUCCUGUGGCUUAAAAAGGAGCGGGGCCGUGUCAUAUAUGCAAGUUACGUGAAGCCGUGGCUUCCUUCUCACCCUUGGACUCAGAUGUGUCGUCUGCCUGGAGCCACCGGACCAGAACAGAGACGCGCGCACCGCGGACCACAGAUUUAUGGCAAAUUGCGUCUUUGGAAGAGCAGGAGUGAGAAUAAAGUAGACCUUAAGAAGUCUGACUUUCUUAAGAACUCUGACUGUCUGCUGAAAAAGAAAGAAGCGUGGUGAGAAGUUAAGUUAGCACCGUUGGAAGGAAGAGACCCCAAGCACAUACUAAUACAAAGGUAUCAGCCAGGAAAGUACCAGGGAAAUCUUCAAGCCAGGUGAGACCUUUCCGUAUAUUUUCUUUUUCACCUUUUUAUUGUUGCAUUAAGGAAUUUUUACAUUUUGUUGUGGAUUUUUCCUUUGAGUUUUUUCCUUUUUUCCUUUUUUCCUUAAAGACUUACCUCACCACCCUGUGGAAACCCCUUUGUGGAUGUGGGACUUUGUAAAGGACCUUUCAUGUUUCAGUUGUGUAUAAGUAUAUGUAUAUGCAUUAAAUGGUGUUUGGUUGUACAUAGUGGGUGCAUAUUUUCAAAAACACAUUGUGUUCACGGUUAUCUACAUACUGUGUUGGUGAUUUGAUAAGCAGUGCCCUCACGCCCCAUGGUGGCUUUCUGGAUAUAUUUGUAACUAGGCCUGAGUGUCAGGCUGUUUGUUACGAAACAUCUCACCCUCCCAAAAAAAAGGUUUGUCCUCGGAAAGGGACUGUACCCGGGCUGUAAUGUCUCAGUAGAUUCUAUUUGCAGGCCUUAUUAAUCGUGCUUGGUGCCAGGGUGUCGCAGGCAAGCAACCUGGCCUCAUCUCUGGCUGGACUGCAUUUGCGGGUGACCCUUGAGCCACACCUGAAUGAAGGUCAUUUUGGUGGAGUGUGUGUGUGCCGCUCCAGGCUACCUCUGAUGAAUGCAGAGGCUAGCAGAGGCUAGCAGAGGAUGGAGGACCUUUCUCACGGGCACACUUACAGUAAACAUGCACACCUCUCGGCUUCUAAACUCUCAUCAUUUCAAAGUGGAAUGGUCCCCUGGGCAUGCCAAAUGACUCACUGGCUCAACACGCACAUUGGUUAUGUCUCACUGUUUGUACGGCUGUUAUUGAAAUGGCUAUUGCUCCUGUUUUAAAGCUUUGGAAGAGUCCCAGGGGCCGGUCAUCCCAGCUGGCCUGUCGUAAGCACAGCCACAUUCCUCCUCCGCCCUUGUGGCUGAAUUUAACCCCGUCUGGCUUUAGGAGUUCCUGGGUUUGGGUGUGUAGACGUCUGAACAGACGUCCUCCUCCAGACGUUCUGUGCACUGCAACUAACUUAAUGAUUGUGUAGCCACAUAAAGGGAUAUUUAUGGUGACCAAGUGAAAUUUAUGUACAGAAAUCCCUAGAUAUUCAAUUUUCUUCAGAAAGUUAUCAAAGACAUCAAAAUCUAUGCACUUCCGUAACAGACCAGAAUGACAUAAACAUGCAAGAAAGAAUCAGAAUUUUAAUCUAGAAGACUCUAACCUAAAAAGUGAUCAGAUUGGGUGAUCCGUUUUUGGCUGGACUGCAACAAUCAAAGAGUGGAAGGAAGACGGUGAGAUCCAAUCAGGGUGCGGAAUGAAGAGGGUGAGAUCCAAUCAGGGUGUGGAAGAAAGGGUGAGAUCCAAUCAGAGUGCGGAAGGAAGAGGGUGAGAUCCAAUCAGGGUGUGGAAGAAAGGGUGAGAUCCAAUCAGGGUGUGGAAGGAAGAGGGGGAGGGAUAUCCUGAAAGGAGCGGCGCCAUACAGGGGAGACACGGAGUGGGUCAGCUCCUCAUCACUGAGCCCUGAUCCACCCCAGCCCAAGGGGGCUGUUUGAGAGUAAACAUCACAAGAGCACAAGAGCCUAAGUUUCCUCCUUUACAAGAACAGGAAGGUUAUCUACCUUUGAGUGGAACCAUCCUUCCUGUGUCUAUUCUCCAUGGUCCUGUGCUUCUCUCGGGUGCUGACAGGGCUGCAGGAGGGUCGUGGAAGGCCUGUAAGGCUUAUGGA